rnacentral:rRNA from 1 species
UGAAACUGGUGGUCUUGAGGGCAGGAGAGGAGAGUAGAAUCCCUGGUGUAGCGGUGAAAUGCGUAGAAAUCAGGAGGAAUACCAGUGGCGAAGGCGGCUUUCUGGACUGACCCUGACGCUG